rnacentral:rRNA from 1 species
UACGAAGGGGGCUAGCGUUGCUCGGAAUCACUGGGCGUAAAGGGCGCGUAGGCGGCCAUUCAAGUCAGAGGUGAAAGCCCAAGGCUCAACCUUGGAACUGCCUUUGAUACUGUUUGGCUUGAGACCGGUAGAGGUAAGUGGAACUGCGAGUGUAGAGGUGAAAUUCGUAGAUAUCGGGAGGAACACCAGUGGCGAAGGCGGCGAUCUGGGAAGAUACUGACGCUGAGGUGCGAAAGCGUGGGGAGCAAACAGG